GUGCUCACUUCCACAGCACAUAUACUAAAACUGGAAUGAUAUAGGGGAGAUUAGCAUGGCCCCUGUGCAAGGAUGACACGCAAAUUCAUAAAGUGUUCCACAUUUUG